ACCAAUCUUGAUCCUCUAUGAUCUGAGAUUGCAAAUGCCUUAACAGACCAGGGGCUCAGGAACAGCGGCAGCAGAAGGUCAUUCCUUUCACAACCUGCAGGUGAGCUCCCAAAGGCACCAGGUGGGCCACUGCGAGUAGCAGAGUGCUGGACUAGAUGGACUCUGGUCUGAUCCAGCAGGCUAGUU